UACGUAGGAGGCAAGCGUUGUCCGGAAUUACUGGCGUAAGGCGCGAUGUAGGUGGUGGGACGAAGAUCUGCUGUGAAAGCGCCUGGCUUAACCGGGCGAGGUCGGCGGAAACUGUCCGACUAGAGGACGGUAGAGGGGGGGUGGAAUUCCCGGUGUAGUGGUGAAAAUGCGUAGAGAUCGGGAGGAACACCUGUGGCGAAGGCGGCCCCCUGGGCGGCCCCUGACACUGAGACGCGAAGGCGUGGGGGAGCGAACGGG
rnacentral:rRNA from 1 species